ACUCCUACGGGAGGCAGCAGUGGGGAAUAUUGCACAAUGGGGGAAACCCUGAUGCAGCCAUGCCGCGUGUGUGAAGAAGGCCUUGGGUUGUAAAGCACUUUCAGUAGGGAGGAAGGUAGUGUAGUUAACACCUGCAUUAUUUGACGUUACCUACAGAAGAAGCACCGGCUAACUCCGUGCCAGCAGCCGCGGUAAUACGGAGGGUGCGAGCGUUAAUCGGAAUUACUGGGCGUAAAGCGCAUGCAGGCGGCCUGUUAAGUCAGAUGUGAAAGCCCGGGGUCUUAACCUCGGAAUUGCAUUUGAAACUGGCAGGCUAGAGUCUUGUAGAGGGGUUAGAAUUUCAGGUGUAGCGGUGAAAUGCGUAGAGAUCUGAAGGAAUACCAGUGGCGAAGGCGGCCCCCUGGACAAAGCUGACGCUCAGAUGCGAAAGCGUGGGAGCAAACAGGAUUAGAUACCCCUGGUAGACUGUCA
rnacentral:rRNA from 1 species